rnacentral:rRNA from 1 species
GAGACCCAUGCUGUUAAUUGCUACUUUCAUCUUCAAUGAGAGGCACCUUAACAGGACUGCCCGCGUUAAGUGGGAGGAAGGAGUGGGCGACGGUAGGUCAGUAUGGCCCGAAUCCCUUGGGCUACACGCGGCAUACAAUGGCUGGAACAAUGGGUUGCUACUUCGAAAGGAGGCGCCAAUCCCCUAAAUCCAGCCCUAGUUCGGAUUGAGGGUUGCAACUCACCCUCAUGAAGCUGGAAUCCCUAGUAAUCGCGUGUCAUCAUCGCGCGGUGAAUAC